UACGGAGGGGGCUAGCGUUGUUCGGAAUUACUGGGCGUAAAGGGCGCGUAGGCGGUGUAUUAAGUUAGAUGUGAAAUCCCUGGGCUUAACCUAGGAACUGCAUCUAAGACUGAUACGCUAGAGUGCGGUAGAGGAUAGUGGAAUUUCCGGUGUAGCGGUGAAAUGCGUAGAUAUCGGAAGGAACACCAGUGGCGAAGGCGGCUAUCUGGACUGACACUGACGCUGAGGCGCGAGAGCGUGGGGAGCAAACAGG
rnacentral:rRNA from 1 species